GUGGGUUUCCAAUCCCUAAUAAUCUUCCCAAACCGUAACGAAUUUGAACUUGCAGUUGGUGGCAUAGAGCUCUGUUUUCUGAUUGGAAAUGGCGAGAUCAACCAGCAAGGAUGCUCAAGCUCUCUUCAAUUCCCUUCGCUCUGCUUAUGCCGCCACUCCCACCAGCCUCAAGAUCAUUGAUCUGUAUGUGGGUUUCGCGGUUUUCACUGCUUUGAUUCAGGUAGUUUACAUGGCUAUUGUUGGAUCAUUUCCAUUCAAUUCUUUUCUGUCUGGAGUACUUUCUUGUGUAGGCACAGCUGUCCUUGCUGUUUGUCUCCGUAUCCAAGUGAACAAAGAGAACAAAGAAUUCAAGGAUUUACCUCCGGAGCGUGCAUUUGCUGAUUUUGUUCUGUGCAAUUUGGUGCUCCAUUUGGUGAUCAUGAAUUUCCUUGGUUAAUUUUUGGCCAGUUUGGUCUGUUGGAUUAUACUCCUUGAUGUUGAACUGAGAGACAUAAUUAUAAAUAGUUUUAGGACUCCAAUGCAGCAAAUUCAUUGGCCAUAACUUAAGAAACUUGCCCCAUGAAAUUCUGAGCUGCUGUUAGAAUUUUUGUUAUUUAGGCUCGUUUUGUUUGUGGAAAAUAACUUGUCCAUGCGAAUAUUUUGACUGUUUGGUUGCAACACUGAAAAAUCUGUUUCUUCGUUUUUUUUUUUAAAAAAC
rnacentral:misc_RNA from 1 species